rfam:Pediculus humanus corporis strain TSDA 1103172086139, whole genome shotgun sequence.
UCCCUGGUUGAUCCUGCCAGUAGUCAUAUGCUUGUUUCAAAGAUUAAGCCAUGCAUGUCUCAGUGCAAGCCGAAUUAAGGUGAAACCGCGAAAGGCUCAUUAAAUCAGCUAUGAUUCAAUUGAUGGUACGAUCACGGUUACUUGGAUAACUGUGGCAAUUCUAGAGCUAAUACAUGCCAAACGAGUUCCGACCGCGGGUUCGAACGAUCUCGCGGAACGAAUGCUUUUAUUAGAACAAAACCAAUCGGAUCUCGUUCGAAGAACGAGAUCCGCAAAUCUAUGACGAAUCUGAAUAACUUUGAGCUGAUCGCACGGUCCACAGAACCGGCGACGCAUCUUUCAAAUGUCUGACUUAUCAACUUUCGAUGGUAGGUUACGCGCCUACCAUGGUAAUAACGGGUGACGGGGAAU